rnacentral:miRNA from 1 species
GUGGGUUGGGGGUGUGGG